CAGAAAGCUACAGGCCAAAAUGCAAGUUAGGAGCCCAAGACUUUGGACAGUACUUAACUUUAAUCACUAGCCUCUUAGCCGUGCCUCCUUUUUUCUCAAGGAAUCAUUGUCCCCUCUCCUCUCCUUGGCUAGCAGCUAGCAUCAGUGAUCGACCAGCACGGCAGCACGUACUGGUUAGUUUUCCUUUUUCCCUUUUCCGAUCGACAGGAGCCGGCAGUACUGGCCGGUACUGUAAAGUUUUUGGGCGGUUAUAAGUGCAUCUUUCACACUCUCCAGAUCGAUCUAUCUGCUAUGUAUCUAUCUGCCCUUGCAGAUGUAAACAUGCUUCCUUCCAAGGGCCAGCCACCCGCAUAAAUAUGAGUGAGAUCAUCAUCGACUGCUUGCUAUAUCGUCUCGCACACGCCAGCUUGAAUUCCCAUAUGCAUCUCGACGAACCUUUCUAGAUAGAUAGGCAGAUAGAACUGAGCCGUGACCUCACCCUUAAUUUGGCUCCUCUCUCUUUCUCCACACCACUGAUCACUAUUGACGAGAUGGAGGCAGCGGCACCAAGGUCCUCGUCAACUAGCUACUAGAUCGUCCGGUCGUCCGUUGAUCGAUCUCCCAUGGAGGCGAGCAAGGGAGGCGACGGGAGCUCGGGCGCCUCGGCGAGCAACGAUGACAGCACGGUGGAGGAGGAGGGAGCGGGCCGUGAAGAGCAGGAGGACGCCUGCAGGGGGAACUCUUUGUCGUCGUCGUCGGUGCGCCCCUACGUCCGCUCCAAGAACCCGCGCCUCCGCUGGACGCCGGAGCUCCACCACUGCUUCGUCCGCGCCAUUCACAGGCUCGGCGGCCAAGACCGUGCAACUCCGAAGCUCGUUCUUCAGUUGAUGAACGUCAGAGGGCUUAGCAUAGGCCAUGUCAAGAGCCACCUCCAGAUGUAUAGGAGCAAGAAGAUCGAUGACUCAGGCCAGGUCAUAGGUCAUCUCCCCUUGCCCCAUGCCUUCCAUCAUCGCCAGAGUGGUGCGGGCACCAUGUUGUCAAGGUUUGGUGCUGCUGCAUGGCCUCCAUGGAGAAGCUUCCAUGAACCAUAUUGGGCCCAUGGUCGCCCCUUUCUUGCAACUGGAUCGAGGACCUACAACUCUUUAGAAGCUGAAGCCGAGGCGGCUUUCCUUCGGUCCCGAGCUCAACAUGUAGCUCGAGCUGCAUCUAGCAAUCCGGGACUGAUGAUGCAGUCAGGCUGUCCAUCUUGGAACGAUCAUCAUACCAUGAACCACCAGCAUAAACGAUUGCUGCAACCGACAGUGUGCAACGCUGAUGAUAUCCAUAUUUCUCUUGAUCUUGAUCUCGAUCUCUCGCUCGGUCUCCCCGUGCCGAGGAGGGAGGCGAAGCGGAAGAGAUCGGGCUGCGGCUGGGUGAAAGAAGGCCCUGAUGAGAAUGGAGCCGAUGAAGAACAAGUGGAUGAGACCAGCAGUGCCACUAUGCUAUCUCUGUCCUUGUUCUCUUCUGGGGAUGCUCCUCGGAAGAUGAGUAGCACUAGUGCUAGUGAUCGUGCAGUAGAUGAGCAUGCUACAAGGAGGGCAAGUACUCUUGAUCUCACCAUAUGAUCUACACAAUGUGGUGAUAUCUCGUGGUACUUAUCCAUGCAUACAUAUGUUAUAUAUUAUGUAGAGCGAACAUAUAUACCUAUGUUUUACCAUACAUAUUAUGUUAUCUUCUAAUUAAUGUUUGUUGGUUUAUAGGUCCAUC
rnacentral:rRNA from 1 species